GGCGAACGCUGGCGGCGUGCUUAACACAUGCAAGUCGAACGGAAAGGCCCUGCUUGCAGGGUACUCGAGUGGCGAACGGGUGAGUAACACGUGGGUGAUCUGCCCUGCACUUCGGGAUAAGCCUGGGAAACUGGGUCUAAUACCGGAUAGGAGCCAUUUUUAGUGUGAUGGUUGGAAAGUUUUUUCGGUGUAGGAUGAGCUCGCGGCCUAUCAGCUUGUUGGUGGGGUAAUGGCCUACCAAGGCGGCGACGGGUAGCCGGCCUGAGAGGGUGGACGGCCACAUUGGGACUGAGAUACGGCCCAGACUCCUACGGGAGGCAGCAGUGGGGAAUAUUGCACAAUGGGCGCAAGCCUGAUGCAGCGACGCCGCGUGGGGGAUGACGGCCUUCGGGUUGUAAACUCCUUUCGCUAGGGACGAAGCUUUUGUGACGGUACCUAGAGAAGAAGCACCGGCUAACUACGUG
rnacentral:rRNA from 1 species